rnacentral:rRNA from 1 species
UACGGGGGGGGCAAGCGUUGUUCAGAAUUACUGGGCGUAAAGGGUUCGUAGGUGGCCCGCUAAGUCAGACGUGAAAUCCCUCAGCUCAACUGGGGAACUGCGUCUGAGACUGGCAGGCUCGAGUGCAGGAGAGGAACGCGGAAUUCCAGGUGUAGCGGUGAAAUGCGUAGAUAUCUGGAGGAACACCGGUGGCGAAGGCGGCGUUCUGGACUGUUACUGACACUGAGGAACGAAAGCCAGGGGAGCAAACGGG